rnacentral:rRNA from 1 species
UAGUCACGGCGAGUGAAGAGGGAAGAGCUCAAAUUUUGAAUCUGGCGUCUUUGGCGUCCGAGUUGUAAUCUAAAGAAGUGUUUUCCGUGAUGGACCGUGCACAAGUCUCCUGGAACGGAGCGUCAUAGAGGGUGAGAAUCCCGUAUAUGGCACGAUUACCAUUGCUCUGUGAUACACUCUCGACGAGUCGAGUUGUUUGGGAAUGCAGCUCAAAAUGGGUGGUAAAUUCCAUCUAAAGCUAAAUAUUGGCGAGAGACCGAUAGCGAACAAGUACCGUGAGGGAAAGAUGAAAAGCACUUUGGAAAGAGAGUGAAACAGUACGUGAAAUUGUUGAAAGGGAAACGCUUGAAGUCAGUCGCGCUCGUUUGGAUUCAGCCUGGCUUUUGCCUGGUUUACUUCCUUGCGGGCGGGUCAACGUCAGUUUUGACCGGAGGAAAAAGCUUUGAGGAAUGUGGCAGUUUACUGUGUUAUAGCCUCUUGGUGUAUACUUCGGUUGGGAUUGAGGACCGCAGCGCGCCUUACGGCCGGGGUUCGCCCACGUACGCGCUUAGGAUGUUGGCAUAAUGGCUUUAAGCGACCCGUCUUGAAACACGGACCAAGGAGUCUAACAUGUGCGCGAGUGUUUGGGUGUUAAACCCGAGCGCGAAAUGAAAGUGAAAGGUUGGGAACACUUAUGUGUGCACCGACGCCCGGAGCAGACCUUCUGUGACGCACCUGCGGUAGAGCGUAUAUGUUGGGACCCGAAAGAUGGUGAACUAUGCCUGAAUAGGGUGAAGCCAGAGGAAACUCUGGUGGAGGCUCGUAGCGAUUCUGACGUGCAAAUCGAUCGUCAAAUUUGGGUAUAGGGGCGAAAGACUAAUCGAACCAUCUAGUAGCU